rnacentral:rRNA from 1 species
CAGCAGCCGCGGGAAUACGAGGGGGGCAAGCGUUGUUCGGAAUUAUUGGGCGUAAAGGGUGCGUAGGCGGUUUGACAAGUCAUCUGUGAAAUCUAUGGGCUCAACCCAUAGUCUGCAGGCGAAACUGUCGGGCUUGAGUAUGGGAGAGGUGAGUGGAAUUUCCGGUGUAGCGGUGAAAUGCGUAGAUAUCGGAAGGAACACCUGUGGCGAAAGCGGCUCACUGGACCAUAACUGACGCUGAGGCACGAAAGCUAGGGGAGCAAACAGGAUUAGAUACCCCAGUAGUCCCUGUCUCUUAUAC